rnacentral:rRNA from 1 species
GACGAACGCUGGCGGCGUGCUUAACACAUGCAAGUCGAACGGAACCGCCCUUCGGGGUGCUCGAGUGGCGAACGGGGGGGUGAAACCUGGGUGAUCUGCCGUGCUCACUGGGCUAAGGCGGGGCAACUGGGUCUAAUACCCAUUAGGCCCACGCGCUAUAUGGUGUGGGGUGGCACGCGUUUGCGGAGCUGGAUGGGAGCGUGGCCGAUUAGCUUGUUGGUGGGGUAUGGGCAUACCAAGGCGACGACGGGUAGCCGAGCUGAGAGGGUGACCGGCCACGCUGGGACUGAGAUGCGGCCCAGACUCGUACGGGACGCAGCGGUGGGGAAUAUUACACAAUGGGCGCAAGCCAGGUGCAGCGACGCAGCGUGGGGGAUGACGGCAUUGGGGUUGUAAACCACUUUCAAUUGAGACGAAGCGAAAGUGACGGUACCUAUAGAAGAAGCACCGGCUAACUACGUG